ACCAGUUGAAAGAACUAUUCUUCCCAAAUGGAAAUGUCUCGGGUCCUAAGAUCUGCUGUUCAAUCUUCAGCAUCUACGCUCUUGAGGUAGAAAGUUUUGAUUACAGCAUUAGAUAAAAACAACAACUCAGGUGCGGAUUUAGACCAUGUCAACUCCUCGGAAACGAUUUUAUCUAAUUCUUUUGCUACAAACAAGUCGAUUUUUAUUUAUUUUAGGGCGGGUUGUAUAUGUUUUAUUCGUAUGUAGAUAGCUGUGUCUUUUUGUUAUAUAUACAUCUAGAAUGUUAUAAAAAGUACUUCAUGCUUUAGGAGUAUUAAACAACAUUUUUGUUUUCGUUAUAAUGUAAAAAGUUCAUUUCACUUGUUGCUUGUUACAUUGGUUAGCUAACACGUGUCACAAGUUCAUUGAGUCAGUUAAAUUUUGUAAAAAAAAUUUAGUAGGCAUUUAUUUAAAAAAAUUAUCGUGUAGUUUUAGUGUAGCUAUAGCUAAUUCUGUUACCUAUUUUAUCACAAGUCUUGGGUGUGGAAAUUGCCUAUGGCUUUGUGUUCAUUUUGAAAAAACGUUGAUGAUGAAUGAUUUACGAAUUCUUGUAUUACGUGUACUGAUAAAGCUGUUGGCUUCUACUGGUUGUUCCCUGUACAUCUGUUUUAAAUACACCACAUAAAAUUGGGGACAAAAACACCUAAUGAAGAUAGCAAAUAAUAUUAAGAAAUCUGGCAUCAAUGAGGUGUUUCGACCAACAAAAUCACGAUCCAGUCAACGUCCAACAAGAAUAACUUUGAAGCUGUGUAUGGUAUUAUGUACUUGUUUACAACUGGAUAUAAAUAUUACAAGAAGUUUCUUGUACGAUAAAAAAUCCCUGUAAUUAGAUUAAUCAAUAAAAAUAACCAAUAAUGUAAAAUUUUGAAAACAUAUUUUGAAAUUAAAUUUCAUCUUAAGGUUUGAAAUGAAUCAAUAAAAACAGUUAAAACUGUUAAGAAUAGAAACAUAUCUAUACACAUAUCAUACAGUAUUUACACUACGUUCUUAUAAGGUUAUCUGAG